AUUGAACGCUGGCGGCAGGCCUAACACAUGCAAGUCGAGCGGAUGAGUGGAGCUUGCUCCAUGAUUCAGCGGCGGACGGGUGAGUAAUGCCUAGGAAUCUGCCUGGUAGUGGGGGACAACGUUUCGAAAGGAACGCUAAUACCGCAUACGUCCUACGGGAGAAAGUGGGGGAUCUUCGGACCUCACGCUAUCAGAUGAGCCUAGGUCGGAUUAGCUAGUUGGUGAGGUAAAGGCUCACCAAGGCGACGAUCCGUAACUGGUCUGAGAGGAUGAUCAGUCACACUGGAACUGAGACACGGUCCAGACUCCUACGGGAGGCAGCAGUGGGGAAUAUUGGACAAUGGGCGAAAGCCUGAUCCAGCCAUGCCGCGUGUGUGAAGAAGGUCUUCGGAUUGUAAAGCACUUUAAGUUGGGAGGAAGGGCAGUAAGUUAAUACCUUGCUGUUUUGACGUUACCAACAGAAUAAGCACCGGCUAA
rnacentral:rRNA from 1 species